UUAAAUAAGAGUAGAUCCGGAUGAGCAAUUGCCAAUCAUUUGCAGUUACAACAUUUAAAAAUAACAAACGUCAUUAACAUAGUAUUGUAAAAUUUAAGUCUCAUCGCCCGAGCUGCCUGCAUUGCUGGGCAAGAGUAAUAAUCUCCAUGGAAGUACUAUUAUUACCCUGCACGCCUUAAGCGAUAUAAUGUCAUCACGUGGAUGAACAUGCAGAGUAUGAUCGCAACUGAGAGAUAGUCAACACAGAGAUGGUGACUGAAAGGCCAAGCCCGGGCUCUACAAUGUCGUGUACACGAUUUUCAUGAUAAAGGAAAGUUUUUUACAUUUAUCUGUUAC